UCAGCAACAUAAGUAUUGAAGGUACUGCCUGCCCAGUGAAAAUUUUUUAACGGCCGCGGUAUUCUAACCGUGCAAAGGUAGCGUAAUCACUUGUCUCCUAAAUAGAGACCAGUAUGAACGGCUAAAUGAGGACAACCCUGUCUCCUACAAUUAAUCAGUGAAACUGAUCUCCCAGUUCAAAAGCUGGAAUACAACCAUCAGACGAGAAGACCCUGUGGAGCUUAAAAUUUACCUAGUAACAUACAACUAGCAUAAAAUUUUAAGUUGGGGCGACUUCGGAACAAAACAAAACUUCCGAGCACAGAACCACUGAUUCUUACCAAGGCAAACGGGCCAAAGCACUAACACUGACCCAGUCAUACUGACCAACGAACCAAGUUACCCCAGGGAUAACAGCGCCAUCCUCUUCAAGAGUCCAUAUCGACAAGAGGGUUUACGACCUCGAUGUUGGAUCAGGGCAUCCAAGUGGUGCAGCCGCUAU
rnacentral:rRNA from 1 species